rnacentral:lncRNA from 1 species
GGUUAUGUAUCUAGUCUUUAAAAAGAAACUCAUAUGACAAAAAUGUCCAUUUCAUGUAUCUGAUAUCAUCAUUUUUUUUUGGUCAGGUAUUUCUCGUCUUCUCCAUCACCAACUGAGCCAGGGAAGCUUCAGAUUCCAGCUUCGAAAGGAGACGCCCUCGAACCAAAGGCAUCUGAGCAAAACAACCAACACGGAAACAGCCCGGCCGUGCUAUCACCUCCUGGAAAAAUGAGGAGAGUGAUGGGUCCUGAGGGAUAAUACCUGAGGGUCUUCAUUUGUGGUAGUAUAUACAAUCAAUAGCUUUGAUUGGAUUUUUUGACAAUAAUUUCCAUUUCAUCUCUGAUAUCUUCAUUUUUAAUUUGGUCAGGUAUUUCUCGUCUUCUCCAUCACCAACUGAGCCAGGGAAGCUUCAGAUUCCAGCUUCGAAAGGAGACGCCCUCGAACCAAAGGCAUCUGAGCAAAACAACCAACACGGAAACAGCCCCGCCGUGCUAUCACCUCCUGGAAAAAUGAGGAGAGUGAUGGGUCCUGAGGGAUAAUACCUGAGGGUCUUCGUUUGUGGUAGUAUAUACAAUCAAUAGCUUUGAUUGGAUUUUUUUGCAGUAACUCUAGCGUCAGUUUGUAAUGCCGCCUUCUGCAAAUUAGUUACCAGUCAAAACUUAUCAGAAAGAACAAAAGGCAAAAAGAAAGAGAGAAACAUUCUCAUUUAGAAAUUUAGAUGAAAAGCAAGUCCAAUCACAAAUAAACAAUGAGAAAUCGGCCAAAAAAACACUGAACUUUGCGGGAAUUGCCAAAAGAAACCUGUACUCGAACCAGACCAAUAAAACUCUGAUCUUUU